rnacentral:lncRNA from 1 species
UUCCUUAACCUGAACCAGGCAGUAAUGUCUUGUGUGCUUUUUUUUUUUUCUCCACAGCUGGUUUGAUCCAUGUAAUUCAUGCAGUGACCUUCAGUAUUAAGAGAAGAUGGGGGAAAAAAAGGCCCUGCAAACAGAUACAGCCAUUAUUUCCACGCUAUGCCAAGGUUGCUGUAAGAACAAUCCACUUCAGAAAGGAAAAUGGGGCGUAUGGUGUCAGAAGGUCAUUUCUCCUUCAGUGUGACUUCAGGCAGAUCUACUGACCCAAACACUGUAUCUCCAGUAUUUCUCUUCGCUCCCUGUGGAGAUGAGGAAAAAAAAAACAGCUCUUUCUCUCUCACGUUCUUUUUCCUGGAUCUGGAAAAAUCAGAAAUCUGUCUGAUAGAAAGACAAAGAGUGUGAGUCAAUGCCAAUUAUAUAUAUGCAUAUUUUUUUAGCAGUUUUAUAAAUGACAGAUGUACAGUUCUGACAGGCCACCCUUGAACUCAAUGCAACGUUUAUAGUCACUUGAAUAAUGACAAACGCAAUAAUUCUUUAGACAACAAUGGCAGCCGAGCAUGAAAGCACCUUUGUCACUAAAUGGAGCUAUUUAUAGAUUUUGUUUCAUUAAAACUAAUUCACAGCCUGCGCGGUGCGGCUUCUUUGAUAUAUUAACAAAAUGCACAAUAUAUUUAACAAGAAAAUGCGCAAUCUAUGCAUUUUUCUG